rnacentral:piRNA from 1 species
UACUCUGAAGUCCCUGUGUCUAUCUGUGU